UGAGUAACCUGCCCUUCACUCUGGGAUAACUCCGGGAAACCGGGGCUAAUACUGGAUAUGACUCGAACAGGCAUCUGUUUCGGGUGGAAAGAUUUAUUGGUGGAGGGAUGGACUCGCGGCCUAUCAGCUAGUUGGUGGGGUGAUGGCCUACCAAGGCGACGACGGGUAGCCGGCCUGAGAGGGCGACCGGCCACACUGGGACUGAGACACGGCCCAGACUCCUACGGGAGGCA
rnacentral:rRNA from 1 species